GGUGCAAUCUGGUUCCUAUAAUGAAUAUGCUACAGCCAACAUACACCUCAAGGUUUCGAAUGGCUAGGAGACCGAGUUAUGGUGUAGCCAAACUAUAACACACUCAAGGUGAACUGUUGAGUACCUCAAGUCAAAGAACUAGACACACAGCUGCAGCAUCGAGCUAGUCAUCGAUGAGAAGGUAGACUUCCUUAUAACUGCUCGAGGUGGUCACGCUCAGUAUUCUCAUUCUC
rnacentral:lncRNA from 1 species